rnacentral:lncRNA from 1 species
GCAUUUGAAUCACUUGAUACCUCACAUCUCCAUGGACUGGCAUCCUCCACACCUUCCUAAUCAUAUUCUAUAAUCUUAGAUAGAAGAUCCAAAAUUUCUCCAACCUGAAUGGGGCUCUGAGCAUGUACGGGCCAUGAGUGGUGAUAAGAAUCAGACAAUGGUCCAAUGCGAUUCUUGUGAGGUGCUAAACUUGGCGCCUUGGAAAGCAU